rnacentral:rRNA from 1 species
CCCGCUGAACUUAAGCAUAUCAAUAAGCGGAGGAAAAGAAACUAACAAGGAUUCCCCUAGUAACUGCGAGUGAAGCGGGAAAAGCUCAAAUUUGAAAUCUGGCGGCUCUGCCGUCCGAGUUGUAUUCUGGAGAAGUGCCUUCCGCGCCGGACCGUGUACAAGUCCCUUGGAACAGGGCGUCAUAGAGGGUGAGAAUCCCGUCUUUGACACGGACCCCCGGUGCUCUGCGAUGCGCUCUCGAAGAGUCGAGUUGUUUGGGAAUGCAGCUCAAAAUGGGUGGUAAAUUCCAUCUAAAGCUAAAUAUUGGCGAGAGACCGAUAGCGAACAAGUACCGUGAGGGAAAGAUGAAAAGCACUUUGGAAAGAGAGUAAAACAGUACGUGAAAUUGUUGAAAGGGAAACGCUUGAAGUCAGUCGCGUCUGCCGGAACUCAGCCCUGCUUCUGCUUGGCGCACUUUCCGGUCCGACGGGCCAGCAUCGGUUUCGUGGGGCGGACACUGGCGGGGGGAAGGUGGUGGCUCCGGCCGCGUUAUAGCCCUCUGUCGCAAACGUCUCGUGGGACCGAGGAAUCCGGCGCAAGCCUGGGAUGCUGGCGUAAUGGCUUUAAACGACCCGUCUUGAAACACGG